rnacentral:rRNA from 1 species
CACGGGUAAAGCGUACGGAGAACAAGUGGAAUCGUACAGCGUAACUCUGCUAGCCGGAAUUACGUAGCGAAGGGGUGAGUAACACGUGAGUAACCUGCCCUUAACUCUGGGAUAAGCCUGGGAAACUGGGUCUAAUACCGGAUAGGAGCGUCCACCGCAUGGUGGGUGUUGGAAAGAUUUAUCGGUUUUGGAUGGACUCGCGGCCUAUCAGCUUGUUGGUGAGGUAAUGGCUCACCAAGGCGACGACGGGUAGCCGGCCUGAGAGGGUGACCGGCCACACUGGGACUGAGACACGGCCCAGACUCCUACGGGAGGCAGCAGUGGGGAAUAUUGCACAAUGGGCGCAAGCCUGAUGCAGCGACGCCGCGUGAGGGAUGACGGCCUUCGGGUUGUAAACCUCUUUCAGUAGGGAAGAAGCGAAAGUGACGGUACCUGCAGAAGAAGCACCGGCUAACUACGUGCCAGCAGCCGCGGUAAUACGUAGGGUGCGAGCGUUAUCCGGAAUUAUUGGGCGUAAAGAGCUCGUAGGCGGUUUGUCGCGUCUGUCGUGAAAGUCCGGGGCUUAACCCCGGAUCUGCGGUGGGUACGGGCAGACUAGAGUGCAGUAGGGGAGACUGGAAUUCCUGGUGUAGCGGUGGAAUGCGCAGAUAUCAGGAGGAACACCGAUGGCGAAGGCAGGUCUCUGGGCUGUAACUGACGCUGAGGAGCGAAAGCAUGGGGAGCGAACAGGAUUAGAUACCCUGGUAGUCCAUGCCGUAAACGUUGGGCACUAGGUGUGGGGACCAUUCCACGGUUUCCGCGCCGCAGCUAACGCAUUAAGUGCCCCGCCUGGGGAGUACGGCCGCAAGGCUAAAACUCAAAGGAAUUGACGGGGGCCCGCACAAGCGGCGGAGCAUGCGGAUUAAUUCGAUGCAACGCGAAGAACCUUACCAAGGCUUGACAUGUUCUCGAUCGCCGUAGAGAUACGGUUUCCCCUUUGGGGUGGGUUCACAGGUGGUGCAUGGUUGUCGUCAGCUCCUGUCCUGAGAUGUUGGGUUAAGUCCCGCAACCAACCGCAACCCUCGUUCCAUGUUGCCAGCACGUCGUGGUGGGGACUCAUGGGAGACUGCCGGGGUCACUUCGGAGGAAGGUGAGGACGACGUCAAAUCAUCAUGCCCCUUAUGUCUUGGGCUUCCCCAUGCUACAAUGGCCGGUACAUG